CCUACGGGUGGCAGCAGUGAGGAAUAUUGGUCAAUGGGCGCGAGCCUGAACCAGCCAAGUAGCGUGAAGGAUGACUGCCCUACGGGUUGUAAACUUCUUUUAUAAAGGAAUAAAGUGAGGCACGUGUGCCUCUUUGUAUGUACUUUAUGAAUAAGGCUUGGCAAACCUCGUGCCAGCAGCCGCGGUAAUCCGGGGGAUCCGAGCGUUACCCGGAUUUUUUGGGUUUAAAGGGAGCGGAGAUGGGUUGUUAAGUCAGUUGUGAAAGUUUGCGGCUCAACCGUAAAAUUGCAAUUGAUACUGGCAGUCUUGAGUACAGUUGAGGUAGGCGGAAUGCGUGGUGUAGCGGUGAAAUGCUUAGAUAUCACGAAGAACCCCGAUUGCGAAGGCAGCUUACUAAACUGUGACUGACAUUGAUGCUCGAAAGUGUGGGUAUCAAACAGGAUUAGAUACCCGUGUAGUC
rnacentral:rRNA from 1 species